GCCUGGGUAGCUCAGUCGGUAGAGUGUCAGUCUUUUAAUCUGAGGGUCAAGGGUUCAAGUCCCUGUUCAGGUG
rnacentral:tRNA from 1 species